AAUCAACGCUGGCGGCGUGCCUCAGACAUGCAAGUCGAACGAUUAAGACUCUCUUCGGAGAGUGUAUAAAGUGGCGCACGGGUGAGUAACACGUAGGUAAUGUACCGUAGGGUGGGGAAUAACUUAGGGAAACUUAAGCUAAUACCGCAUAAUGCAGCGGCUCGACAUCGAGACAGUUGUUAAAGGAGCAAUCCGCCUUAUGAGCAGCCUGCGGCAGAUUAGCUAGUUGGUAAGGUAAUGGCUUACCAAGGCUACGAUCUGUAACCGACCUGAGAGGGUGGUCGGUCACACUGACACUGAAUAACGGGUCAGACUCCUACGGGAGGCAGCAGUCGGGAAUUUUGGGCAAUGGGCGAAAGCCUGACCCAGCAACGCCGCGUGAAGGAUGAAGUAUUUCGGUAUGUAAACUUCGUAAGAAUAGGAAGAAUAAAUGACGGUACUAUUUGUAAGGUCCGGCUAACUACGUGCCAGCAGCCGCGGUAAGGCACGACUGU
rnacentral:rRNA from 1 species